UGUACGCUUGGAGAUGGCAUUCCUCCGCCCUCGGCGUUCCGGGGGGAACCGCCAUUGUGGCCGAUGAUGCCUGCUCGUUU
rnacentral:ncRNA from 2 species